CAGCAGCCGCGGGAAUACGUAGGGUGCAAGCGUUAAUCGGAAUUACUGGGCGUAAAGCGUGCGCAGGCGGUUUGUUAAGACAGAUGUGAAAUCCCCGGGCUCAACCUGGGAACUGCAUUUGUGACUGGCAAGCUAGAGUGUGGCAGAGGGGGGUGGAAUUCCGCGUGUAGCAGUGAAAUGCGUAGAUAUGCGGAGGAACACCGAUGGCGAAGGCAGCCCCCUGGGCCAACACUGACGCUCAUGCACGAAAGCGUGGGGAGCAAACAGGAUUAGAUACCCCCGUAGUCCCUGUCUCUUAUAC
rnacentral:rRNA from 1 species